AGAUGAUAAUGCAAACAACAACUAUCAUCGUAAUUAUCGAUCUUCUUAUCCAGAGGCAGAAAAUAAUGCUGCUUCUUUGGAAGAAGAAUUAGUGCCAUUGGAAGAAGAUAAAAGUGAAAGAAGACAUGGAAGGAGAAAUCGAACUCCAAGAAGAAGAAGAAGUUACAGUAACGAUGGUGACUAUAAAUCUAGAAGAAGGCGAAACAAAAGUGAAGAAGAAGAAAGACGGCAACAACAGCGGCAGCAG
rnacentral:ribozyme from 1 species